CAGUCGCCGCGGGAAUACGUAGGGUGCAAGCGUUAAUCGGAAUUACUGGGCGUAAAGCGUGCGCAGGCGGUCCGCUAAGACAGAUGUGAAAUCCCCGGGCUUAACCUGGGAACUGCAUUUGUGACUGGCGGGCUAGAGUAUGGCAGAGGGGGGUAGAAUUCCACGUGUAGCAGUGAAAUGCGUAGAGAUGUGGAGGAAUACCGAUGGCGAAGGCAGCCCCCUGGGCCAAUACUGACGCUCAUGCACGAAAGCGUGGGGAGCAAACAGGAUUAGAUACCCCUGUAGUCCCUGUCUCUUAACA
rnacentral:rRNA from 1 species